UAUAAGGAAGGUAAAAUUGAGGAUAUUCUCACAAAUUAGAGGAUACUCAAAGAAAAAAAAAUAUUAUGAAAUAAUUUAGGAAUCUCUUAUCCAAUUAAAUGUUGUGUGACUAAAUUAUCCUUAGAUAUCCCCAAAUGUAUUAACAAUCGGCACUGGAAGGUUUUACCCGAUAUUCAAAACAAUACCGAUCGUACCAGUCGGUAUUGCAUUCAUGGGUAAAAACAAUGCCGAAUAGGUUAAUUUGAAUCAAAAAACUAUCAAGCCAAACAAUAACAAUCAGUGUGUUACAAAAGUGGAAAUACUUGGGAAAAAGACGGAAGGAUUAUCAAAAGGGAUGUUGAAGAAGAUGGAGGCGGAGUAUAGAUCAAUGUUGUCCACCACAACAACAUCUUCUGCAAUUGAGAGCGCGGCCAGUUCUGCGUCGAUUCCAGUCGAUUUGGAAUCCCCCACAAUUCCUUUUCAUGUUCGAUAAAAGAUUAUCAAUAUCAUCAACGACAGACAAGUAUUUGGCUUUUAAUUAUUAAUAUUCUAAUUUACAACAAAAGUUCAAACUAAUUUUAUAUAUAAUAAUGACUAAAAUGUGUUUAUGUUUUUUUGUCCUCCUGAAAAAGUAAAAUUUGAUUGAAA